UUAACCCGUUUAACAACUCAACCCAUCAAAUUAAAUGAGUUAUGAGUUGACCCAAUCCAUUUAACAAAAUGAGUUGAGUUAACACAUAACUCAUUUAACUCUAAACUCAUUUGAUUAUGAGU
rnacentral:pre_miRNA from 1 species